rnacentral:rRNA from 1 species
AAUUAAUAAUUACAACUUUCAACAACGGAUCUCUUGGUUCUGGCAUCGAUGAAGAACGCAGCGAAAUGCGAUAAGUAGUGUGAAUUGCAGAAUUCAGUGAAUCAUCGAAUCUUUGAACGCACAUUGCGCCCUUUGGUAUUCCAAAGGGCAUGC